GGAUUUUCAUGUGGAGGCAUUCGUGCCUGAAUCCAAAGUCAAGGACAACUCAAAACUGUGAACACCUAGCUGCUCCUCAUGCAGUAUGUCAGAGAGGAGUUCAGACUUGGGACCAAUGGGAAAAAAAAAAAUGGUCCACACUGUAAAAUGAGAGGAGGCUAAGAGAGCCUAUGUUUCUGCAUGGGUAUGAGAAAAGGGUGAGCUUCAAGGCCUGGAGCAGGAAACAGAUGGGGGUGAGUGAACAUUAAAAGGCUUGUGCUAGGGACUAUGAAGCCAAACCAGUCCCAUCCCAGCAAGAGCCCUGAAUCAGCCAAGGUCCUGCAUUAUUAUGCAACACUGCCAGGGCUAGCCAAAACUUGCCAACCCUUGCUGAUGGGUGUUACUGGAUUUUCUGUGACAAAUUAACCUGUGUGAGUAAUGAUUUCCUUCAACUUGCACUCUCCAAGUCAUGGAGAGCCAAAAAAGCCAAAUGCUCUUUGAGAAGAAGCCCAUUUUUUUUCUUCCCAAAUCUGCAAUUCUACAUUUGAGUGGCAAAGGCCUUUCUCUCUGCCCCCUCCACACUCUCAGCAUCCCCAUUCCCUCUUUCAGGAAAACUUGCCUUGGAAUGGGUUGUGCCCCCACUCCAAAGGCCACAGCACAAAAACAUUCAGAACCAUGAAGGGAGAAGACAGCUGGUGUCCCCAGGAAGGGCAGUUGUCCGUUCUGGCCCAGUGUCAGGGAAGCAGGUGCAAGGACAGACGACCCACUUGCUUUCUACAGGAUUAACUUCCAUCUCAGCCAAAACACUGCAGUCAGAGGCAAAGGAUGGGGCACCACAGGCAGCUGUGAAAUUUGUUUCCAGGGGAAAGUGGGUGGAUCAGAUUGUAGACAAACUGUAAGAGAAAUCACCUUUCAUGAAGAGCUUCCAUGGGUAGGGAAGAGAGAUGAACCAGUCCCAACUGUGGGAAGAAGACAGAGGAGGAAUUUCAUACAAAGACUGCAGUCCCAUAAGGUAGAACAGAGAUGGUGCCUCUCCUGAAUGUCUGACAUUUGAUUUCAGUCUAGAAAUUCUGUGGCCUUCAUUCAGCAGCUCUCUGAGACAUGCUGUGUGCAGGAUGUAGGCUGGAUACUGCAGGUUUAAAAAGGUACAGAACUGCUCUUGAUUGGGCCCAUCCAGAUCUGGGACAAGGCGGAGGUUUAAGGCCACCUCUCCUGCACAGCCACAUCUGAAUCGUCCUUCCAGGCCCCACACACAUGAUCACAACGUUAAUGAGCCUGGCUGCGAGCAGGUUUAUGUGGGGAUCAGUCUGCCCGAACCCUGCGUCAUCCUAAAAAUGCAAUUCUUAUCCUUUUCAGAUCUCGACACAGAUGCAGAGUCCCUGUGACUUGCCCAUGGACACAUAACAGAUAGCGUGUGGGGUUGGUCAGGUUACCAUGCCACUCCUGGUUCCAAAAGCCCUGCUCUUUGGCAGGCUCUGGAAUCUCUUGCUGAAUUCUCACAGCAAAAGCCCACCUCAGAGCCUUCCCCCAUCUUUCUGGAAGCAGGCUGAGACCCGAGGGAGAGUCCACCCUCCCUCAAUCAUAGCCUUUGUAUUGUAUCUGGCUUUGUAUUGUAUCUGACAGAGUGAGUGCUC
rnacentral:lncRNA from 1 species